rnacentral:rRNA from 1 species
GCGAUGAUGGUUAGGGGUCCUGAGAGGGUAGUCCCCCACACUGGUACUGAGACACGGACCAGACUCCUACGGGAGGCAGCAGUGAGGAAUAUUGGUCAAUGGGCGCUAGCCUGAACCAGCCAUGCCGCGUGCAGGAAGACGGCCCUACGGGUUGUAAACUGCUUUUCUGCAGGAAGAAUAUAUAGUCUUAGGGCUAUAUUGACGGUACUGCAGGAAUAAGCAUCGGCUAACUCCGUGCCAGCAGCCGCGGUAAUACGGAGGAUGCAAGCGUUAUCCGGAUUCAUUGGGUUUAAAGGGUGCGCAGGCUGUAAAGCAAGUCAGUGGUGAAAGCCCUGGGCUUAACUCAGGGAUUGCCAUUGAAGCUGUUUUACUAGAGUGUAGUAGAGGACGGCGGAAUGAGUUGUGUAGCGGUGAAAUGCAUAGAUAUAACUCAGAACACCUAUUGCGUAGGCAGCUGUCUAUACUACAACUGACGCUGAGGCACGAAAGCGUGGGGAGCGAACAGGAUUAGAUACCCUGGUAGUCCACGCUGUAAACGAUGAUCACUCGUUGUUGGCUACUUAGUAGUCAGUGACCAAGGGAAACCGAUAAGUGAUCCACCUGGGGAGUACGUCGGCAACGAUGAAACUCAAAGGAAUUGACGGGGGCCCGCACAAGCGGAGGAACAUGUGGUUUAAUUCGAUGAUACGCGAGGAACCUUACCUGGGCUUAAAUGCUGGCUGCAUUGGAGGGAAACCUUCAUUUCCUACGGGACCGCCAGCAAGGUGCUGCAUGGUUGUCGUCAGCUCGUGCCGUGAGGUGUCGGGUUAAGUCCCAUAACGAGCGCAACCCCUAUCGCUAGUUGCCAGCAUGUAAUGGUGGGGACUCUAGCGAGACUGCCGGUGUAAACCGGAGGAAGGUGGGGAUGACGUCAAAUCAGCACGGCACUUACGUCCAGGGCUACACACGUGUUACAAUGGCCGGUACAAAGAGCAGCCACCUGGCGACAGGGCGCUAAUCUCUAAAACCGGUCUCAGUUCGGAUCGAAGUCUGCAAUUCGACUUCGUGAAGGUGGAUUCGCUAGUAAUCGCGCAUCAGCCAUGGCGCGGUGAUAAGUUCCCGGG